UUCCUUGUUGGCCUUCUGCUCGGUCUCCGGCUGGGAGCGGCUCUGGCAGGGGCAGGGGCGCGGCCAUGUCCGCGAACGACAGGAGCAGUUGCCCGCCGCGGCGCUGCGCGCAGAACAAGGUGGACGACGCCACGGGGACGACCCUGACGCACUUUCCCCUCUCCUCCAACUAUUGUUUGGCGAUUGACUUAGGGUUGAUGGAGCCGACGAACCAAGGUUCUGUAGGCGGAGCAGCUCCUCAUGAUCUCUCCUCAGAGGGUCCCACCGAAGUACUGUCCACUGCUCACAUCUUCUCUAGUGAAGUCCAUCUGCACAGUUGAUGGGAUGUUUGAGUGGUUGAAUACUGUUCAAGUAAAAAAGUUGAAGUGUAAUGAAAGCUUCUAGGUACAACUAAAACAGCUAUUUUACUCUCUUGUCA